UUCUGUUGUCAUCCAGUGGCUGAAAUCAACUGGAAGCCUACAGGGAAAGACCUGCCUCCUGGGACACAGAGCAGCUGUUGAUAUCGAUGGAAUUCCUGACCAGUAACAUUUCCAUGAAGAUCAUUACAAUUUAUUUCUUGAAAUUCUGGGAAGGCAUGGAAACAUCACAUUGCAGCAGAUGCUGGGGAUGCAGCAAUGAACAAGACAGGCCAGAUCCCUACUCUCAGAUAAACACAAUGAUCCAGGUCAGUAGGCAUUUGGUAGGAAUCUGCAUCAAACUGUUGGGCAAUGGUAGACAGCAACAUUGACGUCUGUAAAUUUACACUUGGAUUCUUAGUUUCUGGUUGGCUGCAUCCUUCUUCUGAAGGCCACUGCUCUUUUCAGAAGACCUCCCUAGAUGGCUAAGCUCUCUGGGUUGCAACAGUUGCUCUUUUUCCUUGAGCCUUAGGUUAGGGAGUUGGGAGGAAGUAAUGGCUUCCCCCACUGCUAGCUCCAGGGUGCUACACUUUCUCUUUUCUAGUUUCCCUAAUCUGGCUUACACCAUUAUAGAUAGACCCUUUAUUAAAAUAUCCUCAAUUUAUCCAUA
rnacentral:lncRNA from 1 species